GCCUUCGUGUUGUAGUGGUCAGCACACUGAGCCGGUAUUUCAGAGGUCCGUGGUUCGAUUCCCGGCGAAGGCG
rnacentral:tRNA from 1 species